GUCAGUCAAUUGAUUUCACCCGGC
rnacentral:siRNA from 1 species